GUCUCUUCGGAGACCUCCGAUAAAAGUGUACCGAUACAAAGAAGAUUAGUAUGGCUCCUACGUAAAGAUGACAUGCACGAUUCGAGAAGAAAAGAAAAAAGCU